UUCUCAGCUGGCGGGAGAAAAUCGGACCAAAUAGCCCUCUCGUGCAGGAGCACAAAGUCUAGGGUUUCCUUCCCGCGAACUUCUCGUUUUCUUCGGACCGAAGUGCUCGGGUUGUGGUCCGGGUGAGUCCUUCUCCAACACCGGCCGACGACUGGGUCUGGGGGGCAAGCGCCGGUUGGGGCAAGAGGUGCUGGAUCCGUCAGCUGCAGGUCGAGAGGUUGAGGAAGGUCGCCAUGGAUCCCAAUAGCGCAGCCGGAUUUGUUCGAUACAUGCAGGAUCCGGACGCCAUCCCAAGGUUUUCUCAGCCUGCACCGUGGCCUUCUCAUCCAGGCUUCACUAUGCUGAACGUCCCCUAUCCACCCUUCUGCAGUCAGCCACCAGCGAUGGGAAUGCCUAGGGGCCCUGGUACUGAAGAACCCGAGAGCAGCUCCAGUUCCCGGACCAGCAAGAGGGUGAGGGCAAAUCCUGAACCUACAGAUGAUUCAAGGGCAAGGAUGUACUAUACGCAAGAAGAGGAUCUUAGGCUGAAGUCAAAGUUGCGUCUGACAAGGAGCUGUUUGAAGAUUAGGCGAGUCGCUACGCUCAAGUAUUGCCUAUUGGUUUGUGCUUGUUGCUAUGGUUAUUUGAUAGCUACAUUAGAUUUUUCUUUUUAUGCUGUGUUGUUAAAACUCUAUUUAUUUUAUUUGUUUAAUUGAGA